GGAACACACAGCCCAAGGCCUGGUCUAGAGUGGACCCAGCGAGGCAUCUGGGGGAGGAUGGGCUGGUCCUCAGGACACGUUCACAGCCAUUCACUUGAGAAAGGAGCCCUCUUUGCUGGGGCCCAGCACCCGGCACCCACGCCCAUGUGCCCGCCAUGGCCCUAGCGGUCGCUGCCGCAACCUGCCUUGCUCUGCAGGGGACCUUCCUGAGGUGUGGACGUCCUCUUGAGGACGAAUGUUCCUGUGAUCUGCCGCCUGGCUCUUACGCUAGGCCUCAUUGCUUUGGAAAGAUGCCAACACACAGUCCCGCCUGGAGUGCUCUCGGAGACUGCGGAGGACAUUAGGGUCCACCAAGGAAGAGCCCUCUUCUUAGGAAGUCUCUGUGAGGCUCACUUUUCUGCCGUUUGCCUGGUUCCAGGAAAACCUCGACAGGAGGGAGGCUCCUCGGGGGUCAUGAACGGUGCCAUCUGAGGGACAGACUUGAGCAUGUGGCAUCAUUGUAGAGGGGAGAAGUCUGCCCAAGUCUGUGUGGGCUGCCUUUCUGUGCCAGGCUUAUUCCGCUCAAUAGAAUGUUCUCCAGGUUCAUCCACGUUGCCACCAAUGACAGGAUGACUUCAUUCUUUUUAAUGGCUCAGUAAUAUUCCAUCAUGGAUGCAUACCACAUCUUGAUCCAUUUGUCUGCUGAUGGACACGGUGUGUGAUCCACAUCUUGGCUACUGCAGGCAGUGCUCUAGUAAACAUGGCAGUGCAGAUGCCCGCUCACUCACGUGAAAGGUAAACGGGUGGUCUUGGAAGUGAAGAGCAGAGCUGAGGUUACUAGAGGCUGGGAGAGGAAAAGGGGAGGGAAAGCAGAGGGAAGGGUCCACAGAGACGGAAUGACACUGUGAGAGCAGGCGUAGGUCCCGGUGCUCAGCUGGGCAGCAGGGGCUGCAGUGAAUGGUGAUUGACUGUGUAUCUCAAAAUAGCAUCAGAUUGGCGGGCCUGGCCCUCACCUGAAAUCCCAGGGACUC
rnacentral:lncRNA from 1 species